rnacentral:rRNA from 1 species
UAAGCGGAGGAAAAGAAACCAACAGGGAUUGCCCUAGUAACGGCGAGUGAAGCGGCAACAGCUCAAAUUUGAAAGCUGGCCUUCGGGUCCGCAUUGUAAUUUGUAGAGGAUGCUUUGGGUAAAACGCCAGUCUAAGUUCCUUGGAACAGGACGUCAUAGAGGGUGAGAAUCCCGUAUGUGACUGGAAAUGUUAACCUAUGUAAAGCUCCUUCGACGAGUCGAGUUGUUUGGGAAUGCAGCUCUAAAUGGGAGGUAAAUUUCUUCUAAAGCUAAAUAUUGGCGAGAGACCGAUAGCGCACAAGUAGAGUGAUCGAAAGAUGAAAAGCACUUUGGAAAGAGAGUUAAAAAGCACGUGAAAUUGUUGAAAGGGAAGCGCUUGCAAUCAGACUUGUUUAAACUGUUCGGCCGGUCUUCUGACCGGUUUACUCAGUUUGGACAGGCCAGCAUCAGUUUCGGCGGCCGGAUAAAGGCUCUGGGAAUGUGGCCUCCACUUCGGUGGAGGUGUUAUAGCCCAGUGUGUAAUACGGCCAGCCGGGACUGAGGUCCGCGCUCGGCUAG